rnacentral:rRNA from 1 species
UACGAAGGGGGCUAGCGUUGUUCGGAAUCACGGGGCGUAAAGGGCGCGUAGGCGGCCGAUCAAGUCGGGGGUGAAAGCCUGUGGCUCAACCACAGAAUUGCCUUCGAUACUGUUUGGCUUGAGACCGGAAGAGGUAAGUGGAACUGCGAGUGUAGAGGUGAAAUUCGUAGAUAUUCGCAAGAACACCAGUGGCGAAGGCGGCUUACUGGUCCGGUUCUGACGCUGAGGCGCGAAAGCGUGGGGAGCAAACAGG